rnacentral:rRNA from 1 species
CAGCCGCCGCGGGAAUACGAGGGGGGCAAGCGUUGUUCGGAAUUAUUGGGCGUAAAGGGUGCGUAGGCGGCUUGACAAGUCUUGUGUGAAAUCUAUGGGCUCAACCCAUAGUCUGCACGGGAAACUGUCGGGCUUGAGAAUGGGAGAGGUGAGUGGAAUUUCCGGUGUAGCGGUGAAAUGCGUAGAUAUCGGAAGGAACACCUGUGGCGAAAGCGGCUCACUGGACCAUUUCUGACGCUGAUGCACGAAAGCUAGGGGAGCAAACAGGAUUAGAUACCCGAGUAGUCCCUGUCUCUUAUAC